rnacentral:rRNA from 1 species
CCUACGGGUGGCAGCAGUGGGGAAUAUUGGUCAAUGGGCGCGAGCCUGACCCAGCAACGCCGCGUGAAGGACGAAGGCUUUCGGGUUGUAAACUUCUUUUCUCGGGGACGAACAAAUGACGGUACCCCCGGCCUCGGCCACGGCUAACUACGUGCCAGCAGCCGCGGGAAUACGUAGGUGGCAAGCGUUAUCCGGAUUUCUUGGGUGUAAAGGGCGUGUAGGGGGGAAUGCAAGUCCGAUGUGAAAAUUGAGGGCUCAACCCUGAGCCUGCAUUUGAAACUGUGUUUCUUGAGUGCUGGAGAGGCAAGCGGAAUGCGGGGUGUAGCGGUGAAAUGCGUAGAUAUACGGAGGAACACCAGUGGCGAAGGCGGAUUGCUGGACAGUAACUGACGCUGAGGCGCGAAAGCGUGGGGAGCAAACAGGAUUAGAUACCCGGGUAGUC